UAGGGAAUCUUCCGCAAUGGGCGAAAGCCUGACGGAGCAACGCCGCGUGAGUGAUGAAGGUCUUCGGAUCGUAAAACUCUGUUAUUAGGGAAGAACAAAUGUGUAAGUAACUAUGCACGUCUUGACGGUACCUAAUCAGAAAGCCACGGCUAACUACGUGCCAGCAGCCGCGGUAAUACGUAGGUGGCUAGCGCUAUCCGGAAUUAUUGGGCGUAAAGCGCGCGUAGGCGGUUUUUUAAGUCUGAUGUGAAAGCCCACGGCUCAACCGUGGAGGGUCAUUGGAAAAUGGAAAACUUGAGUGCAGAAGAGGAAAGUGGAAGUCCAUGUGUAGCAGUGGAGAGAGCAGAAAUAUGGUGGAACACCAGUGGCGAAGGCGACUUUCUGGUCUGUAACUGACGCUGAUGUGCGAAAGCGUGGGGAUCAAACAGG
rnacentral:rRNA from 1 species